rnacentral:rRNA from 1 species
AUUGAACGCUGGCGGCAGGCCUAACACAUGCAAGUCGAACGAGUGGCGGACGGGUGAGUAACGUCUGGGAAACUGCCUGAUGGAGGGGGUUAACUACUGGAACCGGUAGCUAAUACCGCAUACCAUCAGAUGUGCCCAGAGGGGAUUAGCGAGUUGGUGUGGUAACGGCUAACCAAGGCGACGAUCCCUAGCCGGUCUGAGAGGAUGACCAGCCAAAUGGGAACUGAGACACGGUCCAGACUCCUACGGGAGGCAGCAGUGGGGAAUAUUGCACAAUGGGCGAAAGCCGGAUGCAGCAAUGCCGCGUGUAUGAAGAAGGCCUUCGGGUUGUAAAGUACUGUCAGCGGGGAGGCGGUACCCGCAGAAGAAGCACCGGCUAACUCCGUGCCAGCAGCCGCGGUAAUAC